rnacentral:rRNA from 1 species
ACGGGUGAGUAACGCGUGGGUAACCUGCCUCAUACAGGGGGAUAACAGUUGGAAACGGCUGCUAAAACCGCAUAAGCAUACAUUGUCGCAUGACAGAGUGUGAAAAUAUUUAUAGGUAUGAGAUGGGCCCGCGUCUGAUUAGCUAGUUGGUGGGGUAAUGGCCUACCAAGGCGACGAUCAGUAGCCGGCUUGAGAGAGUGACCGGCCACAUUGGGACUGAGACACGGCCCAAACUCCUACGGGAGGCAGCAGUGGGGAAUAUUGCACAAUGGGGGAAACCCUGAUGCAGCGACGCCGCGUGAGUGAAGAAGUAUUUCGGUAUGUAAAGCUCUAUCAGCAGGGAAGAUAAUGACGGUACCUGACUAAGAAGCCCCGGCUAACUACGUGCCAGCAGCCGCGGUAAUACGUAGGGGGCAAGCGUUAUCCGGAUUUACUGGGUGUAAAGGGAGCGUAGGUGGUUCGGUAAGUCAGAUGUGAAAGCCCGGGGCUCAACCCCGGGACUGCAUUUGAAACUAUCGAACUAGAGUGUAGGAGAGGUAAGUGGAAUUCCUAGU